rnacentral:lncRNA from 1 species
GGAGAACGCGGGGACAGAACUCUUGCUGCAGAGUUUCGAGCGCCGCUUCCUGGCGGCGCGCUCACUGCGCUCCUUCCCCUGGCAGAGCUUAGAAGCAAAGUUAAGAGACUCAUCAGAUUCUGAGCUGCGGCGGGAUAUUUUGCAGAAGCCCUCGGGAGGCUCGGUCACACUCUCCAAGAGCACAGCCAUCAUCUCCCACGGCACCACAGGCCUGGUCACAUGGGACGCUGCCCUCUACCUUGCAGAAUGGGCCGAGAACCCAGCAGCCUUCACUCACAGGCCAGGCCAGGAUCAGAUGGGAAGUGGAAGCUUGUCAUGACCAGAAACUGUUUCCCUACAAAGAGCACUUGGAGAUGGCAAUGCUGAACCUAAUACUGUAGGACUCACACGCGACUUCAACGGGAUUGUGAGGAUCAAGUCACUCUCAUGGGAAGAAUUUUUACAUGGGAAAGCGGAUAAAACUUUCAUUGGACUGGAAUGUUUGGAGAAUAUUAAUUUCCAAAUCAGGAACCACAAACUGCCCUCUAAUAAGACAUCGGCUAUCUAAGCGUGUGGGUGCCCCCUUUCUGCCAGCAGUUCUGGUUCUUAAGAAAAUCACCAUAAAUCAGACAUGAAAAUUCUGGCUCUAAAAAUAGCAUUUUCUUUGUGCAAAUAAAAACGUGUGUAUCAAGUAUGAUGUUCCCCCAACGUGGACACACCCGGUUCCUCACAAAGCCAAGCCCGCUGCAGCUGCCACAUCCC